GCAUAACGCGAAGAACCUUACCUACUCUUGACAUCCAGAGAACUUGGCAGAGAUGCUUUGGUGCCUUCGGGAACUCUGAGACAGGUGCUGCAUGGCUGUCGUCAGCUCGUGUUGUGAAAUGUUGGGUUAAGUCCCGCAACGAGCGCAACCCUUAUCCUUUGUUGCCAGCGGUUAGGCCGGGAACUCAAAGGAGACUGCCAGUGAUAAACUGGAGGAAGGUGGGGAUGACGUCAAGUCAUCAUGGCCCUUACGAGUAGGGCUACACACGUGCUACAAUGGCAUAUACAAAGAGAAGCGACCUCGCGAGAGCAAGCGGACCUCAUAAAGUAUGUCGUAGUCCGGAUUGGAGUCUGCAACUCGACUCCAUGAAGUCGGAAUCGCUAGUAAUCGUGGAUCAGAAUGCCACGGUGAAUA
rnacentral:rRNA from 1 species